rnacentral:rRNA from 1 species
GACGAACCGUGCGAACGUUGUUCGGAAUCACUGGGCUUAAAGGGCGCGUAGGCGGCUCGCGAGGUCGGGGGUGAAAUCCCAGCGGCUCAACCGUGGAAGGGCCUCCGAUACCGGCGGGCUGGAGGGAGGUAGGGGUGCGCGGAACUUCCGGUGGAGCGGUGAAAUGCGUAGAGAUCGGAAAGAACACCAACGGCGAAAGCGCGUGGCUGGGCCUGAACU